AGUCGAGCGAGCGGAACUAACAGAUUUACUUCGGUAAUGACGUUAGGAAAGCGAGCGGCGGAUGGGUGAGUAACACGUGGGGAACCUGCCCCAUANUCUGGGAUACCACUUGGAAACAGGUGCUAAUACCGGAUAANAAAGCAGAUCGCAUGAUCAGCUUUUAAAAGGCGGCGUAAGCUGUCGCUAUGGGAUGGCCCCGCGGUGCAUUAGCUAGUUGGUAAGGUAAAGGCUUACCAAGGCGAUGAUGCAUAGCCGAGUUGAGAGACUGAUCGGCCACAUUGGGACUGAGACACGGCCCAAACUCCUACGGGAGGCAGCAGUAGGGAAUCUUCCACAAUGGACGCAAGUCUGAUGGAGCAACGCCGCGUGAGUGAAGAAGGUUUUCGGAUCGUAAAGCUCUGUUGUUGGUGAAGAAGGAUAGAGGUAGUAACUGGCCUUUAUUUGACGGUAAUCAACCAGAAAGUCACGGCUAACUACGUGCCAGCAGCCGCGGUAAUACGUAGGUGGCAAGCGUUGUCCGGAUUUAUUGGGCGUAAAGCGAGCGCAGGCGGAAGAAUAAGUCUGAUGUGAAAGCCCUCGGCUUAACCGAGGAACUGCAUCGGAAACUGUUUUUCUUGAGUGCAGAAGAGGAGAGUGGAACUCCAUGUGUAGCGGUGGAAUGCGUAGAUAUAUGGAAGAACACCAGUGGCGAAGGCGGCUCUCUGGUCUGCAACUGACGCUGANGCUCGAAAGCAUGGGUAGCGAACAGGAUUAGAUACCCUGGUAGUCCAUGCCGUAAACGAUGAGUGCUAAGUGUUGGGAGGUUUCCGCCUCUCAGUGCUGCAGCUAACGCAUUAAGCACUCCGCCUGGGGAGUACGACCGCAAGGUUGAAACUCAAAGGAAUUGACGGGGGCCCGCACAAGCGGUGGAGCAUGUGGUUUAAUUCGAAGCAACGCGAAGAACCUUACC
rnacentral:rRNA from 1 species